rnacentral:rRNA from 1 species
GGAACGCGAAGAACCUUACCUACUCUUGACAUCCAGAGAACUUAGCAGAGAUGCUUUGGUGCCUUCGGGAACUCUGAGACAGGUGCUGCAUGGCUGUCGUCAGCUCGUGUUGUGAAAUGUUGGGUUAAGUCCCGCAACGAGCGCAACCCUUAUCCUUUGUUGCCAGCGGUUCGGCCGGGAACUCAAAGGAGACUGCCAGUGAUAAACUGGAGGAAGGUGGGGAUGACGUCAAGUCAUCAUGGCCCUUACGAGUAGGGCUACACACGUGCUACAAUGGCAUAUACAAAGAGAAGCGACCUCGCGAGAGCAAGCGGACCUCAUAAAGUAUGUCGUAGUCCGGAUCGGAGUCUGCAACUCGACUCCGUGAAGUCGGAAUCGCU